rnacentral:rRNA from 1 species
AUUGAACGCUGGCGGCAGGCUUAACACAUGCAAGUCGAGCGGGGACUUCGGUCCUAGCGGCGAACGGGUGAGGAAUGCUUGGGAAUCUGCCCAGUAGUGGGGGAUAACGUUUCGAAAGGAACGCUAAUACCGCAUACGUCCUACGGGAGAAAGGGGGGGAUCUUCGGACCUCUCGCUAUUGGAUGAGCCCAAGUCGGAUUAGCUAGUUGGUGAGGUAAAGGCUCACCAAGGCGACGAUCCGUAGCUGGUCUGAGAGGAUGAUCAGCCACACUGGAAAUGAGACACGGUCCAGACUCCUACGGGAGGCAGCAGUGGGGAAUAUUGGACAAUGGGCGAAAGCCUGAUCCAGCCAUGCCGCGUGUGUGAAGAAGGCCUUCGGGUUGUAAAGCACUUUAAGCGAGGAGGAAUGGCUCUGGGAUAAUACCCUUGAGCAGUGACGUUACUCGCAGAAUAAGCACCGGCUAACUCUGUGCCAGCCGCCGCAGUAACAC